AAAGGCAGAAGCCCUAAGCUUGCCCAAUUGGGCAGAGGAUCCUCCUCACACCGUGACUGGAAGAAGAAAUUAAAUGUUCCCCUUUGACUGCAUCUGUUCUUUCUUGGACAUAAUUAUUUAACACCUUGCUAAACCUCAGGAGUGGUCCAAGGUCAGUUGGAAAAAAAAUAUACUGAGAUAACCUUUUUACUCCAGCUGGCUACCAUCCCCCUAUUUAUGCUAUUGAUGACCACAGCACAUUUCUCUGACUUCAAAAUGAAAAAGCAUUACAACCUUCAAUAAAAUAUAGAGACAAGAUGCAGAUUUUUAAAUUAA